rnacentral:rRNA from 1 species
UAUCGUCCUUACGGAUGAAAGCCUUCGGGCGCCAGAAGAGCAGCCUGCGUCCCAUUAUUUAGUCCUAGUUGGUGAGGUAACGGCUCACCAAGGGUACGAUGGGUAGCUGGUCUGAGAGGAUGAUCAGCCACACUGGAACUGAGACACGGUCCAGACUCCUACGGGAGGCAGCAGUGGGAAUAUUGCGCAAUGGGCGAAAGCCUGACGCAGCCACGCCGCGUGAGUGAUGAAGGCCUUCGGGUUGUAAAGCUCUGUCGGGAGGGAAGACGGGAGAAAUCCCAGACGGUACCUCGCAAGAAAGCACCGGCUAACUCUGUGCCAGCAGCCGCGGUAAUACAGAGGGUGCAAGCGUUGCUCGGAUUUACUGGGCGUAAAGCGUACGCAGACGGUCACGCAGGUCGGAUGUGAAAGCCCCGGGCUCAACCCGGGAACUGCAUUCGAAACCAUGUGACUUGAGGAUGGUAGAGGAGAGCGGAAUUCCCGGUGUAGAGGUGAAAUUCGUAGAUAUCGGGAGG